AAGUCGUAACAAGGUUGCCGUAGGUGAACCUGCGGCAGGAUCAUUAACGAUUUAAAAAACAAACUGUCCUUUUUGUUGGGCUGCUUCUCGAAGGAGAAAUUUUUCUCCGUUUCGAGCGAGCUAAAAACAGUAAAUGGUUUCCAAAACUAAAUCGACCUGCUUGAUAAGGGUCGCAGAAUUUACGAUCGAUUGCCGGCCGACAGGCGUACGCGGAUUGAGUAACCGGCAUUCCGCGAGAAGCCUUGGCUGACUUGAUCGCUUGGUCCCAAAAUUAAAUCGACCUAUUAUUAAGGGUCGCUUAAAAAAACUUGCCGAUCGGUGGAUCACUCGGCUGGU
rnacentral:misc_RNA from 1 species